rnacentral:piRNA from 1 species
UUGGAACAUUCGUGCUAUAUGAUGCC